AACUUUGCUGAAAAUGAAUCUGAAUCCCCUUGUCCUAAAGAAUUCACAGUCAGGAUGGUUUUCUGGUGAAACUGGAGCAUGUAGACAUACCCUCAGGAGCAGAAAAUAAAUGCUGAUAAAGACUAAGGAAAAGCCAGAACCACACACAGACUGACUUACCCAGAGCAAAGAGCUGAGUGUUUUCAAGGCUGAAGGCAAACUUUAAGACAAAAACACAGAGAAAUGAGACAUAAAUGGAAACAGGUUCUGAGAAGUGGCACAUAGAGCAAAUGCAAAUGGGUGCUUGGAAAUUUAGAAGACAUGUAAGUGGCUCCAGCUUCCUUGGAGGGAUGGGAAGUUUCUGGGAAACACCCCACAGAGCUCUUCUCCAUCUCUUCUCAAGAGAAGACUGCUUGGAAAAUUGUGUUAGAGGUUUGCUUUCCCUCCUGGUUUGCUGGAGAGAGACGUUAUACCUGACUUUACUGGUCGCUUGAGGAUAAAAAACUAUGGCCAGUGCUGAAGACACUGUUUCCUUUAAAUUGAAUAUGUCCAGAAACCCUUCUGACAGGCUUUCUAAGCACUCAAACACUAGGUGAUGGGACGAAGAGAACUGAAAAUGUGACUCUUGCUACACUUUUAUUUCAGUCCUUCAAGGAAGAAGGCCACUUGCAUCAUGAAGGCAUGUGCUUGAUUAGUGUCUCUCUGGACUGAAGGCCCAGCCAUGGGACAAGGCAGUGUUUACAGAAAACACAGGAGGCACGUUGGAGCAGGAAAUACAAGGGCACUCAUCCUAAGACAACAAGCAGCCUUGGCUGAAAACCACAGAGUGGUUUCAAGGGAUGCUGCUGUCUAGUCUGGACUCUAUAGUGCCUGGACAAGUAAUGAACCUGGAGCAUCACCAAAGGCCGUGACCUGGAGGAACUGAAAGAGCCUUUCUCAGCUGGGGUGUGAGACGUGGCAUGGAUAAAGAGGGUCCUGAGAAACACACUGACAGUGCUUGGGAGUCAAGGCAGAAGGUAAGUCUAUACACCAUAGGGAUGCCCGAGCACACCCCACUUCUAUGGCACAGGCUGUAAUGUAUUAGACCUGUAAAUAUUGGUAUCUGCAGUUAAAAAUGAAAGGGAAGAGUUUUUAGCCUUCCUAUGUAUUCUCUGGCUUGCUGCUUUGGAACAGGAAUGCACUGUCAUAAUAUCUCUCAUAUGUUGCCAUGUCUUGCUGCUGCUUGGGUUGUCAAUGGGUUGUUUUUUUCACUGCAGACUAUUGAAAAGGGGCCUCGCAUGCUACAGACCAUAUGUGAGAGUUGCUUUCCUAAAUGCAGUAAUAAACAGCCAUGAGAUGAAAUAUCCCCAAGUAAUGAGAUUAGUGACACGGGAUACAGCUUUCAAAAAUAAUUACAUCUGACACCCUCAUCAGCAAGAAGAUGUAGGGGCUGCAAGCUCUAAGCUUGGGAACAGCAUAUGAAAGAUUGGCUUCUCCUGGGAAGGGAGGCACAAGGGAGGUUAUUUUUAGUACUUUGGAGGAAAAAAAGAAAAAGCCAGAAUUUAAGCUCUCUUUGGUUUGAUACCCUCGUUAUGGAGGAGAUCAUGGAGAAAUAAAGCAAAAGCGGCAAUGGAAAUGUUACUGAGCAUGGGAACUGUGGGAGCACGAGGCUGACCUGAGCAAAGCGGGAGUAGUAGGGUCAAUACGGAACGAGGUGGGGGGGGCACUCCUAUCCCCCCGCCACCCCUCCCCGUCCCGUCCUCGCUCGUGCCCGCCGAUACAAUAACAACCCAGCGACGGCGGAGCAGGCGGUUCCGUUUUCGCGACGGUAUAUAUAGAUCAGACACUUUCCAAAACAAGCAGCGCCGCCGAGUCUCUCUGUUCGGCGGCUCUUUCCACGCGUAAUUCAGAAAAAAAAAAUUAUUUUUUAAAAUUACUUUUUCUUUGACAAAGGAGAAGCUCUAUUCCGUGAAUGUGGCUGUUUCCUGACCCGCCGCCGGUUUGCGGUUACAGGCUGCUGAGAAAGUGAGCGGGGUCUGGCGGGGCGGCCCCGGGACCUCCUCUGCUUUUCCGAACCUUUUAAAAUUUUCCGGAACAAGCCCUAAAAGGGCAGGCGGGGCGGGGCCGGAUCCUCGCCUUUUUAGGACAAGGGCCCCGCCACCGGAAUACCCCCC